rnacentral:rRNA from 1 species
AACGAACGCUGGCGGCGUGCCUAACACAUGCAAGUCGAACGGAAGUAGCAAUGCUUUAGUGGCGCACGGGUGAGUAAUACAUGGGAAUCUGCCUAUUGGAGGGGGAUAACUACGGAAAACUGUAGCUAAGACCGCGUAAGCAGCAGUAAUGCUGGAAAUGCUGGGACCGCAAGGCCAGCAGCCGAUAGAUGAGCCCAUGUCCCAUUAGCUAGUUGGCGGGGUAACAGCCCACCAAGGCGAAGAUGGGUAGCUGGUCUGAGAGGACGAUCAGCCACACUGGGACUGAGACACGGCCCAGACUCCUACGGGAGGCAGCAGUGGGGAAUAUUGCGCAAUGGGGGAAACCCUGACGCAGCAACACCGCGUGGGUGAUGAAGGCCUUCGGGUUGUAAAGCCCUUUCUGUUGGGAAGAAGGGAGUUGGCUUAAAUAGAGUCAGCUUUUGAUGGUACCAAAAGAAGAAGCACCGGCAAACUUCGUGCCAGCCGCCGCCGUAA